UAGGGAAUCUUCGGCAAUGGACGAAAGUCUGACCGAGCAACGCCGCGUGAGUGAAGAAGGUUUUCGGAUCGUAAAACUCUGUUGUUAGAGAAGAACAAGGACGUUAGUAACUGAACGUCCCCUGACGGUAUCUAACCAGAAAGCCACGGCUAACUACGUGCCAGCAGCCGCGGUAAUACGUAGGUGGCAAGCGUUGUCCGGAUUUAUUGGGCGUAAAGCGAGCGCAAGCGGUUUCUUAAGUCUGAUGUGAAAGCCCCCGGCUCAACCGGGGAGGGUCAGUGGAAACUGGGAGACUUGAGUGCAGAAGAGGAGAGUGGAAUUCCAUGUGUAGCGGUGAAAUGCGUAGAUAUAUGGAGGAACACCAGUGGCGAAGGCGGCUCUCUGGUCUGUAACUGACGCUGAGGCUCGAAAGCGUGGGGAGCAAACAGG
rnacentral:rRNA from 1 species